rnacentral:rRNA from 1 species
UACGUAGGUGGCAAGCGUUGUCCGGAUUUACUGGGCGUAAAGGAUGCGUAGGCGGACAUUUAAGUCAGAUGUGAAAUACCCGAGCUUAACUUGGGUGCUGCAUUUGAAACUGGGUGUCUAGAGUGCAGGAGAGGUAAGUGGAAUUCCUAGUGUAGCGGAUGAAAUGCGUAGAAGUAUUAGGAAGAACACCAGUGGCGAAAGGGCGACUUACUGGACUGUAACUGACACUGAGGCAUGAAAGCGUGGGGAGCAAACAGG